ACGAAGGGGGCUAGCGUUGUUCGGAAUUACUGGGCGUAAAGCGCACGCAGGCGGUCCAAAUAGUCAGGAGUGAAAGCCCUGGGCUCAACCCGGGAAUUGCUCUUGAUACUGGUGGACUAGAAUCAUGGAGAGGGUAGGGGAAUUCCGAGUGUAGAGGUGAAAUUCGUAGAUAUUCGGAAGAACACCAGUGGCGAAGGCGCCUACCUGGCCAUCGAUUGACGCUCAUGUGCGAAAGCGUGGGGAGCAAACAGGA
rnacentral:rRNA from 1 species